rnacentral:rRNA from 1 species
GAUGAACGCUGGCGGCGUGCCUAAUACAUGCAAGUCGAGCGAACAGACGAGGAGCUUGCUCCUCUGACGUUAGCGGCGGACGGGUGAGUAACACGUGGAUAACCUACCUAUAAGACUGGGAUAACUUCGGGAAACCGGAGCUAAUACCGGAUAAUAUAUUGAACCGCAUGGUUCAAUAGUGAAAGACGGUUUUGCUGUCACUUAUAGAUGGAUCCGCGCCGCAUUAGCUAGUUGGUAAGGUAACGGCUUACCAAGGCGACGAUGCGUAGCCGACCUGAGAGGGUGAUCGGCAACACUGAAACUGAGACACGGUCCAGACUCCUACGGGAGGCAGCAGUAGGGAAUCUUCCGCAAUGGGCGAAAGCCUGACGGAGCAACGCCGCGUGAGUGAUGAAGGUCUUCGGAUCGUAAAACUCUGUUAUUAGGGAAGAACAAAUGUGUAAGUAACUAUGCACGUCUUGACGGUACCUAAUCAGAAAGCCACGGCUAACUACGUG